rnacentral:rRNA from 1 species
UACGUAGGUGGCAAGCGUUGUCCGGAAUUAUUGGGCGUAAAGCGCGCGCAGGCGGUCCUUUAAGUCUGAUGUGAAAGCCCACGGCUCAACCGUGGAAGGUCAUUGGAAACUGGAGGACUUGAGUACAGAAGAGGAAAGCGGAAUUCCACGUGUAGCGGUGAAAUGCGUAGAGAUGUGGAGGAACACCAGUGGCGAAGGCGGCUCACUGGUCCGGUACUGACGCUGAGGUGCGAAAGCGUGGGGAGCAAACAGGAUUAAA